rnacentral:rRNA from 1 species
CCUACGGGAGGCAGCAGUGGGGAAUCUUGCGCAAUGGGCGAAAGCCUGACGCAGCCAUGCCGCGUGUAUGAUGAAGGUCUUAGGAUUGUAAAAUACUUUCACCGGUGAAGAUAAUGACUGUAGCCGGAGAAGAAGCCCCGGCUAACUUCGUGCCAGCAGCCGCGGUAAUACGAAGGGGGCUAGCGUUGCUCGGAAUUACUGGGCGUAAAGGGAGCGUAGGCGGACAUUUAAGUCAGAGGUGAAAUCCCGGAGCUUAACUUCGGAACUGCCUUUGAUACUGGGUGUCUUGAGUGUGAGAGAGGUAUGUGGAACUCCGAGUGUAGAGGUGAAAUUCGUAGAUAUUCGGAAGAACACCAGUGGCGAAGGCGACAUACUGGCUCAUUACUGACGCUGAGGCUCGAAAGCGUGGGGAGCAAACAGGAUUAGAUACCCUGGUAGUCCACGCCGUAAACGAUGAUUGCUAGUUGUCGGGAAGCUUGCUUCUCGGUGACGCNGCUACGCAUAGUCANCCGCCGNGGAGGUACGGUCGCGAGAUAAACUACGAAGAGUUGUAGNGUUGAGAGNGCGACGGACGACGACGAGGGAGAGG